rnacentral:misc_RNA from 1 species
UUUUUUAAACCUUAUAAUUAAUAAAUCCAAAAUAUAUUUUUUGAAAUCAAUUUUCUGAUGUAUGCAAUUAAUAUAAAUUUAUUAUCUGUAUUCAAUUAUUAUAUUAUACAGAUAAUCAUAAAAAGCAUCCCCCAAACCGCAUUGGAUCAUCAUUAAGCUCUGAUCCUUUUCCUACAUAGGUAAAGAGGCCUUUGCACAGCAGUGGGAUGUUACAGGCUGAAGCUGUUAGCGUAAAAAUCAAUAACAAGCGUCAUACAAUAGCGUUAAAACCUUCUUAGUCGACAAACUGUUUAGAGAAUUAAAAAAUAUAUAUAUCAAUUAGUUGAAAUCAUUAUUACGAAUACGAUAUAUAUUAGACAGUUUUUGUAAAUAAUAACCGUAGUGUAUGUACUUCGUGUUACGUUUAGAUUGUAAAAUCUUAGACUUUAUAGAGAAAACUAUAGUAAUGAAAUACAUAGAACCUUGAAAUCUAACCUGAUUAUUUAUGGUUAAAAACUAAUUUAAUGAUUUAUAUGUAAAAUGAGACGUUUACCAACUUUACCUUAUAAAAGAGCAAAGCUAAAUAGUUGUGUUUGCUCGCAAACGAAAAAAACCGACUUCCAUUACAUCGACAAGUAAUACAACGUAAGUAGACAAAAAAAAAAAAUAACUAACGCACUAGUCGUCACUACGAUUUUAGAGGGUUUCCCUCGAUUUCUCUGGGAUUCCUUCAUCAGAUCCCGAUUUACUUUUCACGAUACCUCAUUUGGGAUAUCUCCUUUCCAACAAAAAAAGAAUUGUCAAAAUAGGUUCAUAAACGACGAAGCUAUCCCCGAACAUACAUAAAACAAUAUGUAUAUAUACACCGUACCGUAUGACCGUAUAUCAU